AGCGAACGCUGGCGGCAGGCCUAACACAUGCAAGUCGAGCGCCCCGCAAGGGGAGCGGCAGACGGGAGAGUAACGCGUGGGAACGUGCCCUUUGGGUCGGAACAACCCAGGGAAACUUGGGCUAAUACCGGAUAAGCCCUCACGGGGAAAGACUUAUCGCCGAAGGAUCGGACCGCGUCUGAUGAGCCAGUUGGAGGGGUAAUGGCCCACCAAGGAGACGAUCAGUAGCUGGUAUGAGAGGAUGUGCAGCCUCACUGGGACUGAGACACGGCCCAGACUCCUACGGGAGGCAGCAGUGGGGAAUAUUGGACAAUGGGCGCAACCUUGAUCCAGCGAUGCCGCGUGGGUGAUGAAGGCCCUAGGGUUGUAAAGCCCUUUCGGCGGGGAAGAUAAUGACGGUACCCGCAGAAGAAGCCCCGGCUAACUUCGUGCCAGCCGCCGCAGUAAAAC
rnacentral:rRNA from 1 species